rnacentral:pre_miRNA from 1 species
UACUGAGGUUUUCCUCGGCAGUUAACUGCAGCCGGAUUUUUAAUUUAAUUUCUCGGCAGUUAACUGUCGAAGGGGCAA